CAACGGCCAUUUCUUUUAGUAUUUUGCGGUCGAAAGGCCACGCGCUGUGGCACGAGUUGUGGCUCUUUCGGCCACAGUUCGUCAGAAAGUAUUCAAAGCGCAUGGCCUUUCGACCACGCACUUGUUUCGGUCUCCUUUUAAAAAAAAAACCACGACAGACGCGGUGAAGAGUCUGUCUCUCUCAUUCGGCUGUAAAAAUCGAACGAGAGCCUCGGCUAUCCAACAUAAAUGAAGUGCCUUCUGAGUCUCUGAGGGAUAACCAGCGAAGGGCAGAUAUGAAAGAUAGCCCACAAAUUGAGGAGCAGGUCGUUCUUAAAAAAUCAAGCUCAGACUAUUUAAGGUGUGAUUUCUUUUUCUUAUCUUAUUUCUUUAAUUUUGUUAAUAAGUAGCUUAAAAAAAUAGUUUAGAAAUUGCCAAAAAAAAGAUCCUGACAAAAUUUACUAUUUUGGCUUAAUUUUUUGAUAUGUUGUAGAUUUAUGGUUGGAAUGGAACCAUCAAGGAAAACUAACUCCACAAAGCGUGAUAUUGGCUGGUCGUAUGGGCGAAGAGUCGGGGAGCGGC
rnacentral:lncRNA from 1 species